CCUACGGGUGGCAGCAGUGAGGAAUAUUGGUCAAUGGACGAGAGUCUGAACCAGCCAAGUAGCGUGAAGGAUGACUGCCCUAUGGGUUGUAAACUUCUUUUAUAAAGGAAUAAAACGAGGCACGUGUGCCUUUUUGCAUGUACUUUAUGAAUAAGGAUCGGCUAACUCCGUGCCAGCAGCCGCGGUAAUACGGAGGAUCCGAGCGUUAUCCGGAUUUAUUGGGUUUAAAGGGAGCGUAGAUGGGUUGUUAAGUCAGUUGUGAAAGUUUGCGGCUCAACCGUAAAAUUGCAAUUGAUACUGGCAGUCGUGAGUACAGUUGAGGGAGGCGGAAUUCGUGGUGUAGCGGUGAAAUGCUUAGAUAUCACGAAGAACCCCGAUUGCGAAGGCAGCUUACUAAACUGUGACUGACAUUGAUGCUCGAAAGUGUGGGUAUCAAACAGGAUUAGAUACCCGAGUAGUC
rnacentral:rRNA from 1 species